UACAGGGGGGGCAAGCGUUGUUCGGAAUUAUCGUGGCGUAAAGGGCCAGUAGGCGGCCAACUAAGUCACACGUGAAAUCCCCCAGGCUUAACCUGGGAACUGCGUGUGAUACUGGAUGGCUUGAAUUCGGGAGAGGGAUGCAGAAUUCCUGGUGUAGCGGUGAAAUGCGCAGAUAUCAGGAAGAACACCCGUGGCGAAGGCGGUUCUCUGGGACGGUACUGACGCUGGAGACGCGAAAGCGUGGGGAGCGAACAGG
rnacentral:rRNA from 1 species